rnacentral:lncRNA from 1 species
UUGUUGAUUGCACUUCUCCCUAUCGAUUCUUCUGUUUGGUUGCUUCUCUUUGCCUGUUCGUCGAUUCUUUUGUUUGGUUCUCUCUAUUGGUUUGGUUCUGAUUAGGUUGGACUGUAUUGGAUGAUGAAUUGGUUAGAUUUGGUUUGCCUCUAUCUGAUGAUCUAUUUAGAUGCUUCUAUUUGAUGGUUUCUUUCUUUGGCUGC